CCUUGUCAUUCUCGGGUCCGGU
rnacentral:miRNA from 12 species